rnacentral:rRNA from 1 species
AAUGGACUCUCAGCAACGGAUAUCUUGGCUCUUGCAACGAUGAAGAACGCAGCGAAAUGCGAUACCUAGUGUGAAUUGCAGAAUUCCGUGAAUCAUCGAGUUUUUGAACGCAAGUUGCGCCCAAGGCUCGUGCCGAGGGCAUGUCUGUCUGAGCGUCCAU